UUAUUAUUAGGGGCCAAGCACCGAAGGUGCGUAGGCACCUAUUGUAUCCGUUGGCGUUAUUAUUCUUCUUCUUCUUCUUCUUCUUCUUCUUCUUCUUCUUCUUCUUCUUCUUCUUCUUCCGCCGCAACAAGUCUAUGGCAGCCCAUAGAACCGAUUGCGGGAAAGUUGUAUAAUUUGGCACACUGAUAGAGGACAGUCCCAGCAUUAACUAUAGAAAAUUUGAAGUCUCUAACUCCAACUCUCUAGCGCCACCACUUGUCCAAAAUUUCAAUAUUUU
ensembl:lncRNA